AGAGUUUGAUCCUGGCUCAGGACGAACGCUGGCGGCGUGCCUAAUACAUGCAAGUCGAGCGGAUCGGAUUGGGGCUUGCCUUGAUUCGGUCAGCGGCGGACGGGUGAGUAACACGUGGGCAACCUGCCCGCAAGACCGGGAUAACUCCGGGAAACCGGAGCUAAUACCGGAUAACACCGAAGACCGCAUGGUCUUCGGUUGAAAGGCGGCCUUUGGGCUGUCACUUGCGGAUGGGCCCGCGGCGCAUUAGCUAGUUGGUGAGGCAACGGCUCACCAAGGCGACGAUGCGUAGCCGGCCUGAGAGGGUGACCGGCCACACUGGGACUGAGACACGGCCCAGACUCCUACGGGAGGCAGCAGUAGGGAAUCUUCCGCAAUGGGCGAAAGCCUGACGGAGCGACGCCGCGUGAGCGAAGAAGGCCUUCGGGUCGUAAAGCUCUGUUGUGAGGGACGAAGGAGCGCCGUUCGAAGAGGGCGGCGCGGUGACGGUACCUCACGAGAAAGCCCCGGCUAACUACGUGCCAGCAGCCGCGGU
rnacentral:rRNA from 1 species